UGAAACGCGAUACAAUGAGAUUUUGAAGGAAGUGUCUGCUUUAAAAGAUGAAUUUGAAGUUGAAAAACAGAAUCUCGAUAAGAAAAUAAAGGAAUCUGAAGAGUAUAAUUACUUAUUGGAAAACUUAAAAAAAGACAAGGAUGAUUUAGAGUUAACAGUAAAAGUAUUAGAAACAAAGUGCAUAACACUGAAAAAAACAAAGCCAAGUUUGCACGAUGAACAACUUUUGGAAUCUGGAAAGCGCAAACAUAAACUCUAUAAGGAACUGACAGGAAUUAGGUGGAAUUACGCUGCUGGCGAAGAUUUAAUCGAGGGAUAUAUAACAAAUAAAAAAGAUUUUUUAGAAGAUAUCUCAUAUAAAGGUGAUAUAGAUUAUAAAAACCUAAGAGAUUUAUUGUGGACAAAAAUAUAUCAAUCUACAAGGAAUAUAAAUGUAAAUGAAGAUUCUAAAGAUAACGAACCAAUAAAUAAAUAAUCGUAUUGUUAAAGUUACAUGUAAAUAAGCAU